UACAGAGGGUGCAAGCGUUGUUCGGAAUUAUUGGGCGUAAAGCGCGUGUAGGCGGCUUUGCAAGUCGGGUGUGAAAGCCCUCAGCUCAACUGAGGAAGUGCGCCCGAAACUGCAGAGCUUGAGUGCCGGAGAGGGUGGCGGAAUUCCCCAAGUAGAGGUGAAAUUCGUAGAUAUGGGGAGGAACACCGGUGGCGAAGGCGGCCUC
rnacentral:rRNA from 1 species